rnacentral:rRNA from 1 species
GACGAACCCUGGCGGCGUGCUUAACACAUGCAAGUCGAACGGAAAGGCCCUGCUUUUGUGGGGUGCUCGAGUGGCGAACGGGUGAGUAACACGUGAGUAACCUGCCCUUGACUUUGGGAUAACUUCAGGAAACUGGGGCUAAUACCGGAUAGGAGCUCCUGCUGCAUGGUGGGGGUUGGAAAGUUUCGGCGGUUGGGGAUGGACUCGCGGCUUAUCAGCUUGUAGGUGGGGUAGUGGCUUACCAAGGCUUUGACGGGUAGCCGGCCUGAGAGGGUGACCGGCCACAUUGGGACUGAGAUACGGCCCAGACUCCUACGGGAGGCAGCAGUGGGGAAUAUUGCACAAUGGGCGGAAGCCUGAUGCAGCAACGCCGCGUGCGGGAUGACGGCCUUCGGGUUGUAAACCGCUUUCGCCUGUGACGAAGCGUGAGUGACGGUAAUGGGUAAAGAAGCACCGGCUAACUACGUGCCAGCAGCCGCGGUGAUACGUAGGGUGCGAGCGUUGUCCGGAUUUAUUGGGCGUAAAGGGCUCGUAGGUGGUUGAUCGCGUCGGAAGUGUAAUCUUGGGGCUUAACCCUGAGCGUGCUUUCGAUACGGGUUGACUUGAGGAAGGUAGGGGAGAAUGGAAUUCCUGGUGGAGCGGUGGAAUGCGCAGAUAUCAGGAGGAACACCAGUGGCGAAGGCGGUUCUCUGGGCCUUUCCUGACGCUGAGGAGCGAAAGCGUGGGGAGCGAACAGGCUUAGAUACCCUGGUAGUCCACGCUGUAAACGGUGGGUACUAGGUGUGGGGUCCAUUCCACGGGUUCCGUGCCGUAGCUAACGCUUUAAGUACCCCGCCUGGGGAGUACGGCCGCAAGGCUAAAACUCAAAGGAAUUGACGGGGCCCCGCACAAGCGGCGGAGCAUGCGGAUUAAUUCGAUGCAACGCGUAGAACCUUACCUGGGUUUGACAUGGAUCGGGAGUGCUCAGAGAUGGGUGUGCCUCUUUUGGGGUCGGUUCACAGGUGGUGCAUGCCUGUCGUCAGCUCGUGUCGUGAGAUGUUGGGUUAAGUCCCGCAACGAGCGCAACCCUUGUUCACUGUUGCCAGCACGUUAUGGUGGGGACUCAGUGGAGACCGCCGGGGUCAACUCGGAGGAAGGUGGGGAUGACGUCAAGUCCUCAUGCCCCUUAUGUCCAGGGCUUCACGCAUGCUACAAUGGCUGGUACAGAGAGUGGCGAGCCUGUGAGGGUGAGCGAAUCUCGGAAAGCCGGUCUCAGUUCGGAUUGGGGUCUGCAACUCGACCUCAUGAAGUCGGAGUCGCUAGUAAUCGCAGAUCAGCAACGCUGCGGUGAAUACGUUCCCGGGGCU